rnacentral:rRNA from 1 species
CCCUUAGAUGUCCGGGGCCGCACGCGCGCUACACUGAAGGAAUCAGCGUGGCUUUCUCCCUGACCCGAAAGGGUUGGGAAACCCGUAGAAUCUCCUUCGUGAUAGGGAUUGGGGCUUGAAAUUGUUCCCCAUGAACGAGGAAUUCCCAGUAAGCGCGAGUCAUAAGCUCGCGUUGAUUACGUCCCUGCCCUUUGUACACACCGCCCGUCGCUACUACCGAUUGAACGGUUUAGUGAGGGCCUCGGAUUGGUCUCGGCCCGCUCUUUACCGGGCGGCGCCGUUGGUCGAGAAGACGCUCGAACUUGAUCGUUUAGAGGAAGUAAAAGUCGUAACA